UUACGGCCAUAUCCCGUUGAAACCCCUGUCCCCAUACAAUCACUGAAGUUAAGCAACGUCGAGCCUCGUCAGUACAUAGAUAGGUGACAGCUUGGCAAUACCAGGUGCUAUAA